rnacentral:rRNA from 1 species
UACAGAGGUCUCAAGCGUUGUUCGGAUUCAUUGGGCGUAAAGGGUGCGUAGGCGGCAGUGCAAGUCAGGUGUGAAAUCCCGGGGCUCAACCCCGGAACUGCACUUGAUACUGCACUGCUAGAGUACUGGAGAGGAGACUGGAAUUUACGGUGUAGCAGUGAAAUGCGUAGAUAUCGUAAGGAAGACCAGUGGCGAAGGCGAGUCUCUGGACAGUUACUGACGCUGAGGCACGAAGGCCAGGGGAGCAAACAGG